UUAAAAAAAUAUUGCCCUAGACUAAAUCGAUCGGGAAUGAAGAUCGUCAUAUACGUUUACGUUACUGUAAAAAUAAUAUAAUAAAAUGACGAAGAUCUCUAUCUAAAAUAAAACCAAACCGAAUCAGUUUCAAAGUAACGAACAAUUUCAAUAAAGGCGUGUUUAAAUAAAAUUUGCCAAAGCAUCGCUAAUUUGAAAAAAAAAAAAAAUUCAACUUGCUUUCAUUUGAUAAAAUAAAACCGUUAAAGCCAGAAAUUCUCUGCGAAUUUUCCUUUACGAGCUCGUUUAUUCCUUUUGUCUCGUUUCUUUUUGUUUCAAUUCGAAUUGAAACACCUAAUGGUCCUUGUUGGGAACGAGCUUGUUAGGUAUAAGCCCAUGGUCACACAAACGCGCCACGGCGUUUAAUCACGUUGUCUAUAUGAAGGAUACUUACACUGCGAUGCCGUACUGUUGCCAUCAAUCUCAGUUGCCCUCGUGCUGUUUCUAAAUACAGUUCCUUGUAUGACAAAGUUUAAUGUCCUUUGAUUAGAUUAAGUGCCUUCAUUCCUCCGUAGAACAUGGGGCUACUGCAGUAGUUUUGUUCUGUCCUCGGCUACUGUCUUGUAUUGGUUCUAUGAGGCUCCCACUAUUAUAAGGUCUGCUUUAAUAAUGGACCUAGGCAAGUUUUGGGUUGGUCGAUGAUCUGUUUCGAUCGAUAGGCUGCUAUGCAAUGCAUUUUUGCAGAGUUUCCUGCACUCUUCGUUAAUCAUUGGAAUUGGUGUGAUUGGCUGAAUUAAUGGUAUUCCUGCUUGCCAAUUGGCCAAAACCACCGCCGUCACAUGUCUCUGACGCCGCAUGUUGUGUGUGUUUAGGGCUUUACUAGCAAUUCAAAGCGCGUAUCAGGAGUAUUUUGUAAUAUUGUUGAAAAAAGGAAAAUCUUUCCAAGUAUUAUUGUGAUAGUAUGAUUGGAUAUUUUGUUUCGUUUAUUUAGAUUGAUUUAUUUCUAAAUGACGUUAAGUAUUUACCUUAAUUAAAGCUGGUAACACAUUACGCUGCAGUAAAUAAAAUUUUUAAUGCUGAAAAUUCACCAAAGGUGAUUUUUGGUGCAUUUUCAGUAGGUACUGAAAAACGUUUCAGUAAUGUGCGAUUAGCUUAAAAUAGCUUAAAAUUUGCGACGUAGGUGUGGUCAGUUUAUAUUAAUUUUUACUACGAAGGCUUAAUUCUGAAAUUCCACACUCUCGGCGUGUAUUCUACAAGAAAGUAGUUCGCUGGACUCUCGUCAUGUGAAUAAAAUAUCAAAGAGUAACGAGGAUCCAUAAUUUGCUUUUACUCUUGUUCAUUGCCUAAUCUAAAUUUCCCUCUCUGAGUAAGGCUUAAUUUAAAUUGCUUAACGUCAUUUUCUUUCAAUGUAUAGUUAAAGAAUCCAGUGCCAUGGUUAAAACAUUGUAAAAAUAGUAAGUACAUAUUGUAGAUUUUUAUUAUAAUAGAAUUAUUAAUUUGAAUGUAUUUUACUGUAGAAUAUUGUUCUUUGAUGGAAGUUUAUCAAAGUAUGUGCCAUGUAAAUAAGUAUAGAUGAAUUCUUCUACAAUAUAAAAUAUAAUAGCGCUUUUCAUAUUUUUUUUAUGUAUUCUUUAUAUCAGUACAAAUAUGGGUGCCUUGGCUGAAUAUAUAAUAUUAAGAUUUUAUAUACAAUAAAUCAAUUAUUUCUACAAUGAUUUAUAAUGCGAUUUAUAUUUUUUUAUUAUUGUUGAAUCAAUUUCAACAUUAUCCCUUGGCUCAUGUUGAGUCCAAAUUGUUGUUAUAGUGUAGAAUAGCAUUUUGUAUUUUUAUAUUGUUAAUUAUAAUUCUUAAUAAAAAGUAUUAAGUACAGAUUGUUAUAAGUAAUAUUUUAAUACAUAUCUUCCAUUGUUUUCGAUAUACGUUCGCAAAAUAAGUAAAAGUGAUAGUGUGUGUUUGCGGUUAUAAAAUUUGGUAAAAAAGUUUUGUUUAGAAAAUUAUAAACAUAUUUUAUCUUACACUAGGCCAUAGAAUAAUAAUGCAACUAGAAGUCUGAAUUCUUUUAUAUUCAAAUAUUUAAAAUGUCUUGACGUCCUUCUCUAAACAUCGCAAUGUUAUAUGUUUCCAAGUAUUGGGAGACGAGCAAGUUCUAAAUUGUGAAUUUAAUCAAAUUGCAGUUAAAUUAAUCAAUGGUAACGGUUCCUUAAGUAUCAAUAACUGGUUUAUACAAUUUCUAAUUGAAAAUCAGUCAAAUGUAGAUUUAGCGUUCCGAUAUGAUGCUGUGUAGAAACCAAAGGGGUAUGGGUUUAAUAAAAACUGACAAACCACUUCCAGGUUAGCCCGUUCGACUGCAUCUCACUUACUAUUAUAUGAGAUUGCAGUCAAGGGCUAACUUGUAUCUGAAUAAAAAAAAUACAAUAAAAUUUUGAGUGUCUUAUCGUAGGUACUAAACAGCAAUGAGAUUAAAGUGGUUGUUUUGCUUGAGUUAUUAUUCUAUGGCCGUUAAUGUUCAGUGAGUUUGGAAU